rnacentral:rRNA from 1 species
UUUUAUGGAGAGUUUGAUCCUGGCUCAGAGUGAACGCUGGCGGCGUGCCUAAUACAUGCAAGUCGAACGAUGAAGCUUCUAGCUUGCUAGAAUGCUGAUUAGUGGCGCACGGGUGAGUAACGCAUAGGUCAUGUGCCUCUUAGUUUGGGAUAGCCAUUGGAAACGAUGAUUAAUACCAGAUACUCCCUACGGGGGAAAGAUUUAUCGCUAAGAGAUCAGCCUAUGUCCUAUCAGCUUGUUGGUAAGGUAAUGGCUUACCAAGGCUAUGACGGGUAUCCGGCCUGAGAGGGUGAACGGACACACUGGAACUGAGACACGGUCCAGACUCCUACGGGAGGCAGCAGUAGGGAAUAUUGCUCAAUGGGGGAAACCCUGAAGCAGCAACGCCGCGUGGAGGAUGAAGGUUUUAGGAUUGUAAACUCCUUUUGUUAGAGAAGAUAAUGACGGUAUCUAACGAAUAAGCACCGGCUAACUCCGUGCCAGCAGCCGCGGUAAUACGGAGGGUGCAAGCGUUACUCGGAAUCACUGGGCGUAAAGAGCGCGUAGGCGGGAUAGUCAGUCAGGUGUGAAAUCCUAUGGCUUAACCAUAGAACUGCAUUUGAAACUACUAUUCUAGAGUGUGGGAGAGGUAGGUGGAAUUCUUGGUGUAGGGGUAAAAUCCGUAGAGAUCAAGAGGAAUACUCAUUGCGAAGGCGACCUGCUGGAACAUUACUGACGCUGAUUGCGCGAAAGCGUGGGGAGCAAACAGGAUUAGAUACCCUGGUAGUCCACGCCCUAAACGAUGGAUGCUAGUUGUUGGAGGGCUUAGUCUUUCCAGUAAUGCAGCUAACGCAUUAAGCAUCCCGCCUGGGGAGUACGGUCGCAAGAUUAAAACUCAAAGGAAUAGACGGGGACCCGCACAAGCGGUGGAGCAUGUGGUUUAAUUCGAAGAUACACGAAGAACCUUACCUAGGCUUGACAUUGAGAGAAUCCGCUAGAAAUAGCGGAGUGUCUGGCUUGCCAGACCUUGAAAACAGGUGCUGCACGGCUGUCGUCAGCUCGUGUCGUGAGAUGUUGGGUUAAGUCCCGCAACGAGCGCAACCCCCUUUCUUAGUUGCUAACAGGUCAUGCUGAGAACUCUAAGGAUACUGCCUCCGUAAGGAGGAGGAAGGUGGGGACGACGUCAAGUCAUCAUGGCCCUUACGCCUAGGGCUACACACGUGCUACAAUGGGGUGCACAAAGAGAAGCAAUACUGCGAAGUGGAGCCAAUCUUCAAAACACCUCUCAGUUCGGAUUGUAGGCUGCAACUCGCCUGCAUGAAGCUGGAAUCGCUAGUAAUCGCAAAUCAGCCAUGUUGCGGUGAAUACGUUCCCGGGUCUUGUACUCACCGCCCGUCACACCAUGGGAGUUGUGUUUGCCUUAAGUCAGGAUGCUAAAUUGGCUACUGCCCACGGCACACACAGCGACUGGGGUGAAGUCGUAACAAGGUAACCGUAGGUGAACCUGCGGUUGGAUCACCUCCUUUCUAGA